rnacentral:lncRNA from 1 species
GUGUUGGUGGCGGCGGAGGGUGGUGUUGGAGAAGGAGGUGUGAGGGCGAUGCUGACGUGUCCGGGAUCGGUUGGAGGAGGGGGUGAGUUUCCGGUGGGCUUCUGAGGUGUUGGAGAAGGAGGUGUGAGGGCGAUGCUGACGUGUCCGGGAUCGGUUGGAGGAGGAGGUGAGUUUCCGGUGGGCUUCUGAGCUUCGGAGCGUAGACUCGAGGAGCUGAGGUCAGUCAUCGAGAGUUGUUAUGGAGGAAGUUGCUUCGUUAUGCAUUAAAAACAGAGACGGAAGAAAAAA